UACGGAGGGUGCAAGCGUUAUCCGGAUUCACUGGGUUUAAAGGGUGCGUAGGCGGGUUGGUAAGUCAGUGGUGAAAUCUUCAAGCUUAACUUGGAAACUGCCGUUGAUACUAUCAAUCUUGAAUAUCGUGGAGGUAAGCGGAAUAUGUCAUGUAGCGGUGAAAUGCUUAGAUAUGACAUAGAACACCAAUUGCGAAGGCAGCUGGCUACACAAAUAUUGACGCUGAUGCACGAAAGCGUGGGGAUCAAACAGG
rnacentral:rRNA from 1 species